rnacentral:rRNA from 1 species
CCCGAGGAAAAGAAAUCAACCGAGAUUCCCCUAGUAGCGGCGAGCGAACGGGGAGCAGCCCAGAGUCUUAAUCAAUAACAGUGUCAGGAGAACGGUCUGGAAAGUCCGGCAGUAAAGGGUGAUAGCCCCGUAUCUGAAGAUGCUGUUGUUGUGAACUCGACGAGUAGGGCGGGACACGUGUUAUCCUGUCUGAAUAUGGGGGGACCAUCCUCCAAGGCUAAAUACUCCUGAUUGACCGAUAGUGAACCAGUACCGUGAGGGAAAGGCGAAAAGAACCCCGGCGAGGGGAGUGAAAAAGAACCUGAAACCGUGUACGUACAAGCAGUAGGAGCCUCUUUAUGGGGUGACUGCGUACCUUUUGUAUAAUGGGUCAGCGACUUAUAUUCUGUAGCAAGGUUAACCGUAUAGGGGAGCCGUAGGGAAACCGAGUCUUAACUGGGCGAAUGAGUUGCAGGGUAUAGACCCGAAAC